UGCAAAUGGGUCGGGUUGGAUCAUGAGUGGCCCCGAGCCGAUUCGGUUUCUUGUUCGGAUCCUAAUUUUGGACCUAGAUCCGGUCGGGUUGGGUCCACCACUACAAUUUUUGACCCAACGGGUCAUUCGGGUCAGGUCAGGUCCAUGUAUAACCCGGACCCAAUUCAAAAAAUUCGGAUUCGGUUCGGAUCAACCCAUCCAUGGCUUCAGAACUUGUGUUUGCACCCCCGCAGGCUGCAACUUGUGGUCCCAAAUAAUUUUACAAAUUCAGGUCGGAUCGGGUUGUAAGGUUGAAAAUCCAAAAUUACCCAAAUUUUAAAUGAGUCGGGUCGGGUCAGGUCUGAAUUCAGUAAACUCAGACUCGACCCAGAAAAUGAAAUUGGUCCAAUUUUAGGAUCCGACCCGGCCCCACGGGUCUUCCAAAAUAGGUUAGGUCGGAUCAUGGGUCAACUUGACCCAUUUGCAGCCUUAGUUAUAGUCAAGGGGCUAAUGCGCACAACACCCCCUUCCCCCGCGCGCCGCACAUGUGGGACUUUAGUAAAAUUCUAUUAUUUUGCUUCUUCUUUAAGGCCCUACUAUUAGCCCUCCCUCAAUGCAAACUUUACUAGCACAUGGCCCCCUAUAUAAAAUUUAUAUUGAUGAAUAUUUUUAAUAUGUUUAUUUAUAUUUUUAGAGCAUUAAGGCAAA
rnacentral:lncRNA from 1 species